rnacentral:rRNA from 1 species
AACGAACGCUGGCGGCAGGCUUAACACAUGCAAGUCGAACGGUUGUAGCAAUACAGCAGUGGCGCACGGGUGAGUAACGCGUGGAUAUCUGCCUUUUGGUUCGGAAUAACUCCGGGAAACUGGAGCUAAUACCGGAUGGUUCCUACGGGAUAAAGAUUUAUCGCCAAAAGAUGAGUCCGCGUACGAUUAGCUAGUUGGUGGGGUAAUGGCCCACCAAGGCGACGAUCGUUAGCUGGUCUGAGAGGACGAUCAGCCACACUGGGACUGAGACACGGCCCAGACUCCUACGGGAGGCAGCAGUGGGGGAUAUUGGACAAUGGGGGCAACCCUGAUCCAGCCAUGCCGCGUGAGUGAUGAAGGCCUUCGGGUUGUAAAGCUCUUUUGGCGGGGACGAUGAUGACGGUACCCGCAGAAUAAGCCCCGGCUAACUUCGUGCCAGCCGCCGCCGUAA